GUGUACAUGGGCUUGCACAUACACUAAAAUCGUAACAAUGCAGAGAAGAUAAAUGUGGUCCUUGCAUAAAUAUCACAUGCAAACUCAUGAAAUGCUGAAAAGUCAU